AGCAUGUGAUUGAGUUCACGGGCCUGAUUCUAACACUAAUUAGCAUGUGAUUGAGUUCACUGGCCUGAUUCUAACACUAAUUAGGAUAUGAUUCAGUUCACGGGCCUGAUUCUAACACUAAUUAGGAUAUGCUCCAGUUCAGGGGGCUGACUCUAACACUAAUUAGGAUGUGAUUAAGAUCACAGGCCUCUAAUUAGAAUUAUAGCAUUAUUAUUUAUUUCCACAAAUCACAUUUUCAUACAACUCUUUAUAGUGAAAUGUUACACACAUCUAUUUUGAUUUAAAUCGUAUCAUUGAUUAUUCAUCUAUAACUUAGACUUUUGAAAUAGUUUAUUAUACCCCCCGCAACAAGUUGUGGGGGGGGGGUAUACUGGAAUCGGGUUGUCCGUCUGUCUGUCCGUCCGUCUGUAGACGCAAUGGUUUCCGGGCUCUAAAGCAUUAUCCUUUCCACCUACCGUCACCAUAUCAUAUAUAUGGACUACCCAUGGGAUGAAGAUGUUCCCUAUCGAUUUUGGGGUCAAAAGGUCAAAGGUCACGCGCACUGGACAUCAAAGUAGCAAUAUGGUUUCCAUUUAAAUUCUUUAAUGGCUUUUUUCAUCGCAUGGAGAUGCUGUGUUCCUAGAUACCUUUUGGAUCAUAAUAUUGAAGUUUUACCUAUUUCCAACACCCUUUAGGAGAUUGGGAUUGGCAGUUUACUCCAUGCACCGAAAGGAAUGAUAAACUGUGAUAUUCGUAAAUGGAACUGGAACACGUUCUAAAUAUACUCAGGGACAGAAUGAUGUGCAGCAAGGCUCGUCAUGGAUUUUACCAAAUACAGAACACUGCAAGGCUUGCAAAAUGAAGACCUCAGUAAAUUUUUUUCUAAAUUAUCCACUAAUGGCAGCUCACUACCUGCCCCUUGUGAUGUUAAAAGAGGCCGUUGUUCUCAUUUGUUCCAAAACAGGAAUGGCAUAUGAGGAGGCCAACAGAAGAUGCACCUCCACUGACCUCCACUGAGUGUGCACUCACAAAACGAAUAAAUUAUUAUUAUUUCUUUUGUUUGUAAUUGUAUAUUGUCAACAAGGUCAAAGGCACUUGAUCCGAUGCCAAACUUUUGCAUUUCUUUUGCUUUGUGGUAAAUUUUCUUCAGCAACAUUAACAUUGUUUAAAUUGUUUUCUUUGGAGAGUUUACAUGUACACAUGGAUCAUUUGUAUAUUAGAAUUAUAGCAUUGUUUAAUUCAACUCAUUCUUAUCAUAGAGAGGUUAUUAUAUACUGCAGGCAACGACUUGUAAAGGGUAUACUGUU